rfam:Helobdella robusta unplaced genomic scaffold HELROscaffold_42, whole genome shotgun sequence.
AUAACGUCAGUUGCAGUGACAACUAUGUUAU